UGAACGCUGGCGGCGUGCCUAAUACAUGCAAGUCGAGCGAACAGACGAGGAGCUUGCUCCUCUGACGUUAGCGGCGGACGGGUGAGUAACACGUGGAUAACCUACCUAUAAGACUGGGAUAACUUCGGGAAACCGGAGCUAAUACCGGAUAAUAUAUUGAACCGCAUGGAUCAAUAGUGAAAGACGGUUUUGCUGUCACUUAUAGAUGGAUCCGCGCCGCAUUAGCUAGUUGGUAAGGUAACGGCUUACCAAGGCGACGAUGCGUAGCCGACCUGAGAGGGUGAUCGGCCACACUGGAACUGAGACACGGUCCAGACUCCUACGGGAGGCAGCAGUAGGGAAUCUUCCGCAAUGGGCGAAAGCCUGACGGAGCAACGCCGCGUGAGUGAUGAAGGUCUUCGGAUCGUAAAACUCUGUUAUUAGGGAAGAACAAAUGUGUAAGUAACUAUGCACGUCUUGACGGUACCUAAUCAGAAAGCCACGGCUAACUACGUG
rnacentral:rRNA from 1 species